UUUCAUGAAAGAUUUCUCUAGCAUGCGAUGUUGCUUGAUAGCACUUUAUCCAUAGUAGAACUUCUUUCAAAAUUGGAGCCAAUCCUCCCAAACCCUGCUGCUGUUUUAUCAAUGAUGUUUAUGUAAUACCUAAAUCCUUUGUUGUCAUUUCAACAAUGUUCACAGCAUCUUCACCAGGAGUAGAUUCCAUCUUGAGAAAUUACUUUCUUUGCUCAUCCACAAGAAGCAACUCCUCAUUGGUUCAAUGUCAUCCAGGUUUUGUUGUUCCAUUUACAGGGCACAGAUAGAGUAGAUUUGGCAUAAUUCUUAAUUGCCCUAGAAUUUUCAGGCUGGUAGAUAAGCAUUGGCUUCAACUUAAAGUCACCAGCUGCAUUAGCCCCUAACAAGACAGUCAGCCUGUUUUUUGAAGAUUUGAAGUCAGGCAUUGACUUCUCUCUAUCUAUGAAAGUCCUAGGUGACAUCUUUAUCUGCAAAGUGCAAUAAAACAAAGCAUGCCUGUGCCUAAUAUGUCCCCAGUUGUCAAUAAAAGAGAAAACUUAGGGGCUAGUUUUGGUCCUUGAGCAGCAUCUUACAGGGCCAAUUUAACUAAAGAAUUAACACUUCCUGGCACUUAGCGAGGCCAAGGUGGGCAGAUAGCUUGAGCCCGGGAGUUCGAGACUAGCCUGGGCAACAUGGUGAAACCCCAUCUCUACAAAAAAAUACAAAACAGCCAGGAGUGGUGACACAUGCCUGUAGUCCCAGUUGCCCGAAGGGCUAAGGCAGGAAGAUGAGCACUUCAGAUUUUGGAUUUUCAGGUUAGGGAUGUUCAAUUGAUAAAUACAUGCAAAUACUAAACAAUCCAAAAUCUGAAACACUUCUAUUACCAAGUAUUUCACAUAAGGGAUAGUCUACCUAUAACUACCACAAUUUAAAAUGCAUGUAUCUUUUGACCAACAAUUUUAUUUCUAAGAAACUGCACUCUAGAGUUUAAGGGGAUACACAAAAGAAUAUUCACUAAAACAUGAUUUGAACAAGUGAAAAUUGGAGUCAAUGUAAAAUAUUUGUUAAUAAAAAAGCUUCAGUAAUUUGUGGUGCAUUCAUGUGAUGGUACAUUUUUAUAAUAAUUUUAUAACAAGAUCCUUUAUAACUAUGGCCCUAUAUUUAUUAUAAAACUGUUAUAAAAAAUAGAAUGACCAAGACUGGCUGAUCACCUGAGGUCAGGAGUUCAAGACCAACCUGGCCAACAUAGUGAAACCCCAUCUCU
rnacentral:lncRNA from 1 species